rnacentral:misc_RNA from 1 species
GAAAUGCGAUAAGUAAUGUGAAUUGCAGAAUUCCGUGAAUCAUCGAAUCUUUGAACGCACAUUGCGCCCUCUGGCAUUCCGGGGGGCAUGCCUGUCCGAGCGUCAUUACGCACCCUCAAGCCCGGCUUGUGUGAUGGGCCCCGGCGUCUCGUUCGCGAGACGGGCCCGAAAGGCAGCGGCGGCGUCGACCCGAUGAGCCCGAGCGUAUGGGGACUUCUGUCACACGUUCGCGGUGCGGACCGGCGCCUGCUUGACUUUUCUGAUUAUCCAGGUUGACCUCGGAUCAGGUAGGACUACCCGCUGAACUUAAGC